GAAGCGGUGAUGAGAAGCUAACAUAUAAGAAGACCUAUCUUAUAGUGGGUUCUUCAGUGAAAUAUACUUGUUACGCUUGGCUUCUGAGCUUC
rnacentral:snoRNA from 1 species